rnacentral:rRNA from 1 species
AUAGCACUGAGGUUCCACCUCUUCCCAUUCCGAACAGAGAAGUUAAGCUCAGUCACGCCGAUGGUACUGCGUAACAGUGGGAGAGUAGGUAGUCGCCGUUU